rnacentral:lncRNA from 1 species
CAAGAGACCAAAAUGACACAGACAUUAACAACUAUAGGUCACCGUACGGCCUUCAACAAUGAGCAAAGCCCAUACCGCAUAGUCAGCUAUAAAAGGCCCCGAUAAGACAAUGUAAAUCAAUUCAAACGAGAAAACUAACGGCCUUAUUUAUAUAAAAAAAAAUGAACGAAAAACAAAUAUGUAACACAUAAACAAACGACAACCACUGAAUUACAGGCUCCUGACUUGGGACAGGCACAUACAUAAAUAAUGUGGCGGGGUUAAACAUGUUAGCGGGAUUCCAACCCUCCCCUAACCUGGGACAGUGGUAUAACAGUACAACAUAAGAACGAA